GACGAACGCUGGCGGCGUGCCUAAUACAUGCAAGUAGAACGCUGAAGGAGGAGCUUGCUUCUGUGGAUGAGUUGCGAACGGGUGAGUAACGCGUAGGUAACCUGCCUGGUAGCGGGGGAUAACUAUUGGAAACGAUAGCUAAUACCGCAUAAUAUUGACUAUUGCAUGAUAGUCAGUUGAAAGGUGCAACUGCACCACUACCAGAUGGACCUGCGUUGUAUUAGCUAGUUGGUGGGGUAACGGCUCACCAAGGCGACGAUACAUAGCCGACCUGAGAGUGUGAUCGGCCACACUGGGACUGAGACACGGCCCAGACUCCUACGGGAGGCAGCAGUAGGGAAUCUUCGGCAAUGGACGGAAGUCUGACCGAGCAACGCCGCGUGAGUGAAGAAGGUUUUCGGAUCGUAAAGCUCUGUUGUAAGAGAAGAACGAGUGUGAGAGUGGAAAGCUCACACUGUGACGGUAUCUUACCAGAAAGGGACGGCUAACUACGUG
rnacentral:rRNA from 1 species